AUUGACGCUGGCGGCAGGCCUAACACAUGCAAGUCGAGCGGCAGCGGGAAAGUAGCUUGCUACUUUUGCCGGCGAGCGGCGGACGGGUGAGUAAUGCCUGGGGAUCUGCCCAGUCGAGGGGGAUAACAGUUGGAAACGACUGCUAAUACCGCAUACGCCCUACGGGGGAAAGGAGGGGACCUUCGGGCCUUUCGCGAUUGGAUGAACCCAGGUGGGAUUAGCUAGUUGGUGGGGUAAUGGCUCACCAAGGCGACGAUCCCUAGCUGGUCUGAGAGGAUGAUCAGCCACACUGGAACUGAGACACGGUCCAGACUCCUACGGGAGGCAGCAGUGGGGAAUAUUGCACAAUGGGGGAAACCCUGAUGCAGCCAUGCCGCGUGUGUGAAGAAGGCCUUCGGGUUGUAAAGCACUUUCAGCGAGGAGGAAAGGUUGGCGCCUAAUACGUGUCAACUGUGACGUUACUCGCAGAAGAAGCACCGGCUAACUCCGUGC
rnacentral:rRNA from 1 species